rnacentral:rRNA from 1 species
UGGUGGAGUGACUUGUCUGGUUAAUUCCGAUAACGAACGAGACCUUAACCUGCUAAAUAGCCAGGCCGGCUUUCGCUGGUCUCCGGCUUCUUAGAGGGACUGUCGGCGUCUAGCCGACGGAAGUUUGAGGCAAUAACA